GACGUAGGGCGCGAGCGUUGUCCGGAUUUAUUGGGCGUAAAGAGCUCGUAGGCGGCUUGUCGCGUCGACCGUGAAAACUCGCAGCUCAACUGCGAGCCUGCGGUCGAUACGGGCAGGCUAGAGUUCGGUAGGGGGAGACUGGAAUUCCUGGUGUAGCGGUGAAAUGCGCAGAUAUCAGGAGGAACACCGAUGGCGAAGGCAG
rnacentral:rRNA from 1 species